rnacentral:tRNA from 1 species
GGAAGCGUGCCGGAGUGGUUGAACGGGCUGGUCUUGAAAACCAGAAGGUCCGAAAGGGCCUCGGAGGUUCGAAUCCUCCCGCUUCCG